ensembl:misc_RNA 7SK 7SK RNA
GGAUGUGAGGGUGAUAUGGCUUUGACAUCUGUCACCCCAUUGAUCACCAGGGUUGAUUCGGCUGACCUGGCUGGCUAGGCAGGUGUCCCCUUCCUCCCUCACUGCUCCACGCGCUCAGUCGAAGAGGACGGCCUUCCCUGACAGACUGGUCUUCGGUUGAGGAUAUACAAGUAGCUGCGCUCCCCUGCUAGAACCUCUAAGCAAGCUCUCCAUAUAUAAAGCAGAACAAAUUGUUUAAUGAUCAGGAACCUUUACAAUGGCUUUAUAAUCUCUCCAGUCAAACACGAGAAGGUGUGUUUUUUGUUUGUUUCACUUG